GCAGGAUAUGCCACUGGCCACUGGAACCGAAAGUGUGGAAGACAUAGCGCACAUUCAGCCGUGCCCGGAGGAUCGCCCCGUGCCAGAGCCCUCUACAAUGGAAGAAGUGCAAGUCGAAGGGGCCCACCACCCAUCGCCUGGCGACUGUGAGAAAGAGAAGGACAUGGUGCCUACUGGAACCAUAA